rnacentral:lncRNA from 1 species
UAAUAUUCAGACUUCUCCUUUGCUCCCAGCUUCUGGUCUCAAACCAGGGUCUCCAACUGGCUGAACUAAGCUGAAAGUCUGAUGCCCGGGAAAGACAACCUACAGAGACUUGAAUUUUGUGUAACACAGAAGAUAACAGAAACAACAACAACAACAACAACAAGGAAUGAUAAUGGGGGAAAAUAAGCACAGGAUUAGCACAAGUGUCAUUGGAGCAGAUAAACAAGCCUUUUACAUCUUUUGCACCAUCCUGUCUCCUCAACCUCCCAAAUCACUGAGAUUACAGAUGUGAACUACUGUGCCUGGCUCAAGAAACUUUGCCUUAAAGGGCAUAGAAGGAGGGAAUGCUGGAGUGAUCAUUGAUGGUAGAAAUGACAGCUGGGGUAAGUUGUUGUUUUGUUGUUGUUGUUGUUUUU